rfam:Dictyostelium purpureum unplaced genomic scaffold DICPTscaffold_121, whole genome shotgun sequence.
GUUUCGAUGGUGUAGUUGGUUAUCACAUUACCUUUACACGGUAAGGGUCGUGGGUUCGAUUCCCGCUCGGAAUA